CACCGCGGUUAUACGAGAGGCCCAAGUUGACAGACACCGGCGUAAAGGGUGGUUAUGGAUUAUUCUCAACUAAAGUCAAACUCACCUUACACAGUUAUACGCAUUAGGAUUAAGAGGCUCUACUACGAAAGUGACUUUAACACUGUUCCUGAACCCACGACAGCUAAGAAA
rnacentral:rRNA from 1 species